rnacentral:rRNA from 1 species
GAUGAACGCUGGCGGCGUGCCUAAUACAUGCAAGUCGAGCGAACGGACGAGAAGCUUGCUUCUCUGAUGUUAGCGGCGGACGGGUGAGUAACACGUGGAUAACCUACCUAUAAGACUGGGAUAACUUCGGGAAACCGGAGCUAAUACUGGAUAAUAUUUUGAACCGCAUGGUUCAAAAGUGAAAGACGGUCUUGCUGUCACUUAUAGAUGGAUCCGCGCUGCAUUAGCUAGUUGGUAAGGUAACGGCUUACCAAGGCAACGAUGCAUAGCCGACCUGAGAGGGUGAUCGGCCACACUGGAACUGAGACACGGUCCAGACUCCUACGGGAGGCAGCAGUAGGGAAUCUUCCGCAAUGGGCGAAAGCCUGACGAAGCAACGCCGCGUGAGUGAUGAAGGUCUUCGGAUCGUAAAACUCUGUUAUUAGGGAAGAACAUAUGUGUAAGUAACUGUGCACAUCUUGACGGUACCUAAUCAGAAAGCCACGGCUAACUACGUG